rnacentral:rRNA from 1 species
CAGGAUGAACGCUAGCGGCAGGCCUAACACAUGCAAGUCGAGGGCAGCAGGAGGUAGCAAUACCUGCUGGCGACCGGCGCACGGGUGCGUAACGCGUAUGCAACCUACCCAUAACAGGGGGAUAACGGAGGGAAACUUCCACUAAUACCCCGUAUAGACACUUCGCCGCAUGGCGGGGUGACGAAAGCCGUAAGGUGGUUAUGGAUGGGCAUGCGUGGCAUUAGGUAGUUGGCGGGGCAACGGCCCACCAAGCCCACGAUGCCUAGGGGAGCUGAGAGGCUAAUCCCCCACACUGGUACUGAGACACGGACCAGACUCCUACGGGAGGCAGCAGUGAGGAAUAUUGGUCAAUGGAGGGAACUCUGAACCAGCCAUGCCGCGUGAGGGAAGGAAGGCCCUAUGGGUUGUAAACCUCUUUUGCCUGGGGGCAAUAAGGCUCAUGCGUGGGCUGAUGAGAGUACCCAGGCGAAUAAGCAUCGGCUAACUCCGUGCCAGCCGCCGC